GGGGGGUUGAAUCGUGUGCGUGUCGUCGCCAAGGCAGCCGGAUUGAGGAUCGACACUGGAGGAAGGAGGUCCAACAACAGCAGUCCAUUGCCCUCAGGACGGGGAAGCGGCGAUGGCUUGUGAGAUUGCCUGUGCAGGGGAACUACGCCGAGUGGUUCAAUAAGGGGCGGGAGAGUGGCACAGAAGAAAUAGGAAGAGUUGAGUCUGGCCUUGGGGUCAGCGGCGGCGUGGCGCCUCCAUUCGACCGGCUGUCGGUGGAACUGGCUGUUAGCAUGGGGGCAGCAGCGGAGACGUGAUAUCGGGUGACGGUAUACUCACUAGACGUCAUGUGCAUUGCUGUCGGAUCUUAGGGAGCGCCCUGGACGUUUGGUGGCGGGAAGCAGUAGGCUGUUGAGAAACGAGAUGAGACGCCGAUGCCAACACCGCGAGACGGACGUCUCACCCUUUCAAGCGGAGUCGGGUAUUUGCAGAUGACGUUCAACGGUUGGCCUCUGUCGAUCGUUUGACUUGUACCUGUCCAGGCUGAGGCGGUAGGUAAUGCGGAGAAUGGUGCUGAUGACGGACCGGGAGCCGGCUGCUUGGAAGCGCCAACGAACUCUAUCGCAAUGUGGCCAGCGAGUCGGCUGACAUACGCAUUGACUGAGGACGACCAGGCGGGAGAGUCGAAGCAGGCUGUGGGGCUGGUGGCGAAAAGAGGGUGUCGACGGGGGGUUGAGGUCUGAGGUUGCAGGUUAUAGUCGGUGUGAGGUGCCCUUCGGGUGGAAGGAAUCGGCGGCUACACCUGGCAGUAUCUCGGUCGCUUGACUAGUCGUGUGCUGGGUGUAGUCUGCCUGGAUCAGUGAGCAAGAAGGACAGCGGAGCUGGUGGACGCCCUUGCGUAGAUGCAGUGCCCCAGUGCGUCGUGAGUGGCGCCCGACAUCAUUUUUGUCAUGUAGCAGAACACUGGGUCUGCACAACCGUGUACACGUCGCCUUCGUUGUGCACGAGCGGCGAGGCUGCGUUGGACGAGCGGCGAUUCUACGUCCGCCGUUGCUGUCAUACUGUGACAGCUGGACCAUCGGACUAUGUUGUGGAGCGCCAUGCACACGUCUUGGUGCCCCCGCGACUGCCUCAAGGUGUUCCGGCGGCGCAGUCCAUUCGCACCAACUGCGUCAUUGGGAGUACUGGAGGAUAUGCUGGCCACGUGUGGAAUGCGAGUGGCAUGUGGGUGCACGAAACAAGAAGCCAGAGCCCCCGUUCUGAGGGACGUGAGUGCGCCAUGAGGAAAGGCGUGUCCGUGUGGAUUUGGAUGAUCCCGAGGGCAGACGUGGUGUCUGGUUGACUCUGCGGCUCUCGUGUCGGCUCAGUGGCAUCGGGCUGCCGGUGGAUGGUGUUUGUGAGUUGCAGGGGUAGUGCGGGACGGCCGCCGGGCACGGGCCGGUUUUGUGGAGGGCAAGCUUGGCUGUGAGAUCCAGGCGUGGCGCAUUUGGCGAAUUGUGGUCGUGAUUCACAGACGGUAGGCAGAUGAUGAACGGUUUGUGGAAUGUGGCACGGGGUGGUGCGUGUAUAGUGGGGUGGGGGGUGGUUGAAUCGUGGGCGUUUCCCCGCCAAGGCAGCCGGAUUGACAGUCAGUAACGUAAUUCGGAAGGCUGACAGCAGCCGGUCGCCGCACGAUUGCCUGAGAGGGGGACUACAACGGCGACGUACGGGGAGGUACGGUGGCUGGAGAUAGAAUGGAAUUAGUCUGGAUUUGGGGUCGGCUGGCACUUGGCACAUGCAGUCGGCGGGCUUUGCGAGGGAGGGGAUGUGUGAGAAUGAGGGGAGCAGCAGAGAUGUGGAAUCCGGAGACAGUAUGCCCAUUCGAAGUCAUCGGCUCCGAUGGUAGGUCAUACGGAGCGUCUGGAAUAUGUCUGUGGAAGGAGUAUUCCAGAGAGCAACGAGGCGGUACUUCGACGCCAGUUCGGUGUGACCGGCUUCCCACCAGUUGAGACGGACCUUGGUGAGUAGCAUCCAGGCCGCUGCCGCUUGGAUGGUUUUUGGUGCUCAGGCUCUGGAAGUAUGCAAUCAUGAAUUGUGUGUUGACGAGUGCAUGCAAGAGCAUUGCUUGGGAUAGUUGGCGAGCUGGAUGCGAGUAGGACUAUCGAGUCGGGAGGAAUGUGAGUCUGACGAUAACUACCAGGCGGAGGCUUGAGAGCAGGCUGGGGGCGUCAGCGAGGUGACAGCGUAUUGGGCUUGGCGUGCAGGACGGGGAAGGUGGAUGGCCGGCAGGCAUGACGACAGUGGCGGUCCCUCAGCAACGCCUUUAUCCCACAGCUUGGUAGGGGGCCAAUGUGGGUUUUAUCAGGCUCUGGCAGUACGCACUCGUCACGGGAGAUACAGUGCGAACGCGCAAACUCGUCGACGGGCAACUGGACGGGUGGUGUGUCACGGGCGGGAUCUUGUAUUUGAUUGGGGACGUCGACGGCAGUCAUACUUCAUGUAGCGCCUGAUCCGCCCAAGACACGGACACUAGGGUAAUGUGUUGUAGCACACCUGCUCGUACAGGGUGACUAGGCCAACGUUGUCCUCGCAGAGCAAUCGAUACCCAGUGAUCUUUAGAAGUGUGUCUCAAAUGGCUCUUGAGGUCGUCGUUCUGUCCCGCCUUUCGUUAGUCUUUCAGAUCGCUCAUGCGUUUUUGUUUUGGUGCCGGUAGUAGGAGCGGGGUUGCGUCUGGGCCGGAGUGCAACGUGCAGCGUGGCUGUCGUCGAUGGGAGGGCGUCGAUGAGGGUGGAGUCAGGUGGAUGGCUGGAGAAAAGCAGUUACUUCGGUGUGUGAAUCAGGCGCGCCGGUGUCCCGACAUCUGUUUUUUGCCAGGUGUUGUCGGGUGUUCUCUCACUAAUGGAACAUCAGUGAUGAGAGGCAGCUGAGUCGCAACGAUGUGUCUUCGUGUUGAUCGUGGACAGGAACGGCUUAGGCGCAGUCGCUGCGCUGGCACACGCUCUUGCGGUUAUAAAUCUCACGUGGCUCGCCAACGCCUCACGGCUCCCUAUCAGCAAGCCCCGAGUCUGUUCGUCGCUGCCACAACCCACGUCUUAGUACGACAUGCGUGACGCUAUUCGGUGUCAACACUGGCCUCAUGGGGAGCAUUGGAAGUGGUCGCGAGAACCACUAGUCUGCUGGGAAGACGACAUGUCGCCGCGACACCAGCUGGAGCGUGACUGCUUGUUCGCUGUCGGUGUUUUGAAGCACCUGGGUGGAUGAGCAGCCUGGCUUUUACCCAUCGUUGUCUUGUUCCGAUUCAGGCUGGCAUUGGUUCCCGGUAUUCCGCGGAUGAGCAAUAUUGCGUCUCAUUUCCAAGCACCUCGUGACGGUCACCGGUGCAUUGCGGCGCUAAUGUGGGACAGGCCUUCGAGAGAAUAGCCGGUUUCUUGGAGAACACGGUUGGCCGUGAGGGGGGUGAUAUCAUAUGCUCCCAUACUCGGCGCGACUGGGGAAUGUGAUCGGGAAUCCCAGAGUGUAAGCCAUCGCUGGAGGAUUUGUUGAUUUUUGGACGGGACGAUGUUUGACGUGCGUACGGUUAACCCGGGGCUGCUCCCGGCCACGACAUUACGAGCCACGGAUGAGACCGGAAAACACAGGACGCCAGCAGCUGUUCGUCGCCGGUGGUGCGACGAGGCGAUAGCUCGCGAGUUGUCUGUUGGAGGGAACUGCACGGGUGUCUUACAGGGAGAGAGAGGGUGGCACGGGGGUAAGACGGGUUGAGUCUGGUCGUGGGGUGGAAUUCGAUUAGGCAUGAGUAGCUGGCGGGGUUUGGGAGGGACAGAAUGUGUGAGUGUGAGUGAAGCAGCAGAUAUGUGGACUCCAGAGACAGGAUGCCCAUUCGCAGUCAUCGGCUCCGAUGGUAGGUCAUACGGAGCGUCUGGAAUAUGUCUGUGGAAGGAGUAUUCCAGAGAGCCACGAGGCGGUACUUCGACGCCAGUUCGGUGUGACCGGCUCCCCACCGGUUGGGACGGACCUUGGAGCAGGGCGGAUACAAGGCGGACGGGCGACAUCAACAACGCCGUCGAAUCAAAAGUUCCGAUAAGGCCACCGCGGUUUUCGUCAGACGGUGAUUCAUCGCAGAGUCUCGUGCCACGUCUGCUGAGAGGCCAGGACUGAUGUCGUCAGCGGCUGCACCAGGUGCGGCGGUGACACCGGACCGCAAACGGACGGUAGCAGCUGGUCGCCGCGUUUUAUAGGAAGGGACGACAGCUCAUUAAUUAGAACGUCUCUGCAAGGGAGUCUCCCGGGCAACUGAUGGGGGGCGGCAAUGCCACAGCGAUAGGAAGGGGGUGACACAGGGUCCCGGUAUUCCGCGGAUGAGCAAUAUUGCGUCUCAUUUCCAAGCACCUCGUGACGGUCACCGGUGCACUGCGGCGCUAAUGUGGGACAGGCCUUCGAGAGAAUAGCCGGUUUCUUGGAGAACACGACUGGGUGAGGCGGGUGACCGCUGACGUUUCCAGACACGUCACGAUUGGCGAAUGCGGUCUUGGUUCGCAGUCUGUAAGCAGCCGUCGAAGGGUCUGUGAAAUUUAGGGUGGGACAGCGUUUUCAGAGGGAGGGUGAAUCAGUUGUCUCUCCACGACACGACAUCCGGUUUGACGAACGACACCGAAAGACGGAAGACCGACGGCAACAGUUCGUUGCUCUCGAUAGGAAGGGGCGAUGGCUCGUGAGAGCGCCUGUGCACGGUUUCUGCGCGGGAUUCAUUAGAGGCUGGAACGGUGUCACAAAGAUUGGAAGGGUUGAAUCUGGUCUUUGGGUGGAUUGCGAUUUGGUAUAAGCAGUCGGCGGCCUUUUGCGAUGGCCGGGAUGUUAGCAUGAGAACGGCAGAGAUGUGGGAUUGGGAGAUUGUACGCACAGUCGAGAGCGUGUGCAUCGACGUCGGUCUUCACGGGGCACAUGUGAAUUGGUUGUGGGGAGCAGCAGACUGUUGUGCGAGGAGAUGGCAUUCUAACGCGACCAGUGCGAGACCAGUGUAUCACCGGUUCAGACAGAUUUGAGUGUUAACAUCGUAGGCGCGGCUUAGGGGCUGUUUCUGCCUUGUUCAGCGUCCAUUGGUAGGUAGACAUCAGUUUGUGGUUAGAGAUGGAAUGCGAGCUUUUUGCUUGGGAGAGCUGACGAACGGUAUGAAAAUGAGACCAACGACUCUAGAGGUGUGUCAGCACGUUCAUCAAAGUGAUGCAAGGGCUU
rnacentral:lncRNA from 1 species